rnacentral:rRNA from 1 species
AUUGAACGCUGGCGGCAUGCCUUACACAUGCAAGUCGAGCGCGAAAGGGGGCAACCCCGAGUAGAGCGGCGGACGGGUGAGUAACGCAUCGGAACGUGCCCAGUAGUGGGGGACAACCUCGAGAAAUCGAGGCUAAUACCGCAUACGACCCACGGGUGAAAGCGGGGGACCGCAAGGCCUCGCGCUAUUGGAGCGGCCGAUGUCCGAUUAGCUAGUUGGCGGGGUAANAGCCCACCAAGGCGACGAUCGGUAGCUGGUCUGAGAGGACGACCAGCCACACUGGGACUGAGACACGGCCCAGACUCCUACGGGAGGCAGCAGUGGGGAAUUUUGGACAAUGGGGGCAACCCUGAUCCAGCCAUGCCGCGUGCGGGAAGAAGGCCUCGGUUGUAA